GAGCAGAAGCGAACCCCUUUUGUAACAUAAUCAUUGAUGAAAAACCUGGCGGAUUGGAGCCCUGGUGAUCGGCGUAAAAAAUAUGCAAUGUGUUCAGCAGAUAUUAAUUUCAUCGGCAUCACAUUAUGCAUCAGUCAAAUCGCUCAAGCGAAAAAUAAUUUCUUUUUUACUCUUCAAUAAUUUACUCUGCAUUCGCAGCUUGAAGAUGAAGUAAACGUGACGCUCGAGUGUAUCUAAUUUUGCAGGAAAACUCAGGCUAACUGCACCACGAAAGGAUUGAUUGCACUUUACUGAACAAAUGGAGGUAAUUCAAAUCUUGCAUUAAUUCUGGGACACCUCAUAUAUUAUUCGGAUAACAUAUCAGCUCGAGAGCAAUAAGCAUGGAUACCAUAGGCCACAAAUUUAUUAUAAAGAUGAAAAAAAUCCCCGCACUCCAUCAGAUACUCAUUUUAAAUAUGCAUCCAAUAUAUGUAUGUAUUUAUGCUCAAAUGCAUACUUGCACAUGCUUCUGUAAAAAAGUGCAUAUUCACAUA